rnacentral:rRNA from 1 species
CCCGGGAANUACGAGCCAAGCUUAAAACCCAAAGGACUUGACGGUACCCCAUAUCCCCCUAGAGGAGCCUGUCCUAUAAUCGAUAACCCCCGUUUAACCUCACCAUUUCUAGCAACUCAGCCUGUAUACCUCCGUCGUCAGCUUACCACGUGAGCGCUAGUGAGCUCAAUGUUUUUUCAACUAAACGUCAGGUCAAGGUGCAACACAUGAAGUGGGAAGAGAUGGGCUACACUUUCUAAAAUAGAUCACACGGAAGACUAACUAUGAAAUCUAGUCAGAAGG